GAUGAAGAACGCAGCAAAAUGCGAUAAGUAAUGUGAAUUGCAGAAUUCAGUGAAUCAUCGAAUCUUUGAACGCACAUUGCGCCCGCUGGUAUUCCGGCGGGCAUGCCUGUUCGAGCGUCAUUUCAACCCUCAAGCCCCCGGGUUUGGUGUUGGGGAUCGGCUCUGCCCUUCUGGGCGGUGCCGCCCCCGAAAUACAUUGGCGGUCUCGCUGCAGCCUCCAUUGCGUAGUAGCUAACACCUCGCAACUGGAACGCGGCGCGGCCAUGCCGUAAAACCCCAACUUCCGAAUGUUGACCUCGGAUCAGGUAGGAAUACCCGCUGAACUUAAGCAUAUCAAUAAGCGGAGGA
rnacentral:misc_RNA from 1 species